rnacentral:rRNA from 1 species
CCUACGGGGCGCAGCAGUGAGGAAUAUUGGUCAAUGGACGAGAGUCUGAACCAGCCAAGUAGCGUGAAGGAUGACUGCCCUAUGGGUUGUAAACUUCUUUUAUAUGGGAAUAAACUGUUCCACGUGUGGGAUUUUGUAUGUACCAUAUGAAUAAGGAUCGGCUAACUCCGUGCCAGCAGCCGCGGUAAUACGGAGGAUCCGAGCGUUAUCCGGAUUUAUUGGGUUUAAAGGGAGCGUAGGUGGAUUGUUAAGUCAGUUGUGAAAGUUUGCGGCUCAACCGUAAAAUUGCAGUUGAAACUGGCAGUCUUGAGUACAGUAGAGGUGGGCGGAAUUCGUGGUGUAGCGGUGAAAUGCUUAGAUAUCACGAAGAACUCCGAUUGCGAAGGCAGUUCACUGGACUGCAACUGACACUGAGGCUCGAAAGUGUGGGUAUCAAACAGGAUUAGAUACCCUAGUAGUC